rnacentral:rRNA from 1 species
UUUAUCGGAGAGUUUGAUCCUGGCUCAGGACGAACGCUGGCGGCGUGCCUAAUACAUGCAAGUCGAGCGGACAGAUGGGAGCUUGCUCCCUGAUGUUAGCGGCGGACGGGUGAGUAACACGUGGGUAACCUGCCUGUAAGACUGGGAUAACUCCGGGAAACCGGGGCUAAUACCGGAUGGUUGUUUGAACCGCAUGGUUCAGACAUAAAAGGUGGCUUCGGCUACCACUUACAGAUGGACCCGCGGCGCAUUAGCUAGUUGGUGAGGUAACGGCUCACCAAGGCAACGAUGCGUAGCCGACCUGAGAGGGUGAUCGGCCACACUGGGACUGAGACACGGCCCAGACUCCUACGGGAGGCAGC